CCACAUCCUGAGGCGUUUACUCAUUCCUAGCCCAACUUUCUAUCUGGCCGGGUGCCUGAGAGCAAAAAUCUUUCUGUAAUAUAAAGAACAGGACAUCACCGAGAGGAAGGCUGAUCUCGACGGAGCCUGCAAAUGUCUGAGCUUGACGAUUGGUAACCACAGCAACAGGGCCUCCUUUGAAAUAAUUGCUUGUUACAGAUCCCCAUUUUGUGCGGAGAACUGGUGAGCAUUAAAAAUUGGAGAAGACAAGGAAAAGAAAAUGGUGACCAAUUAGCGGAUGGCUUUCCCCCCCACCCUGCAAGCCUUUGGAUAAAAGCUAGCCAGAUGGGAAGCUAAGUACGCUACAGAAUUGAAUGGACCCGGGAAGUUCUCCAUUGUGUUCUGGGGCUCAGUCCUGCAAGAUGCUGAGCACUCUAGCCCUGAUAGAGUAAAGAGCUUAAGAAUUCCUCAGAUGAACAAUGAGGGGAAAAAAUGGACCCAGAGCUGUUUUGCUACAUGCCCAUCAUUCCAAGGCCAUGGCUCUGUUAGUUAGCCAAGUUUAAAAUACCCGUCAAGGCCAUCAUAGACAGUAGAGCCACUCAGGUGAAGCUGCUUAAUGCAGCUUAAAGAUAAGGUCCUCUUGUAACCAAUGAACAAACCAGAUAAACAGAGCAUAAACAUGUUCCAUUGCAGGCAAAAGACUUGACAAGACAGAGAGAAUCAGGGAGGCUGCUCUAAUUGGCCAGAGGUGCAAAGGAGAAGGGUCUUGCACCGAGAGUUGGUGGAUUUCUUUCUCGCUUGAUACAUUCAGUCAUAACAUCCUUCAAGUUUCCAGGCUUCUUUUUCCCCCCUUGAGAUCUGAUCCUGGUGAAUUUGUGCUGAUUUAAUUGAAAUGUUUCACUCAGGAAAAAAAAAACCUACAAAAAAUCUGAAAAAAUUAAACGGUUUUGUUCAAAAUGA